rnacentral:rRNA from 1 species
UACGGAGGUGGCAAGCGUUACUCGGAAUUAUUGGGUGUAAAGAGCUCGUAGGCGGCUUGUCACGUCGGAUGUGAAAGCCCGAGGCUUAACCUCGGGUCUGCAUUCGAUACGGGCUAGCUAGAGUGUGGUAGGGGAGAUCGGAAUUCCUGGUGUAGCGGUGAAAUGCGCAGAUAUCAGGAGGAACACCGGUGGCGAAGGCGGUUCUCUGGGCCUUACCUGACACUGAGGAGCGAAAGCCAGGGGAGCAAACAGG